CCGUUACCACGGUGACGGGAGUCACACCCCUCCCUCUUGCUUUGAAAAAGCCUCCGGGAGCCCACCAGGCGCUGGGAGGUGAACGUGCUUGUGAGGCAGACCUCAAAGACACCUUGUUGUGUUCAAAACUGCUGCAAUCACAAAAAAGGAUUCAUGCUACAAAGAGGUCUAGUUUGGUUGCAACAGGGAGGAGGCAUCUUGUUCAAUGGAAAAUUAAGUCUGCAAAGAACACCUGUGUAGUCAGCUCUUGUCCUCUUCCACCAGAGAAUAAUCAUAUAUUCAAACGGAAACAGCAUUUAUAUGACCAAGUGUUCAAUGCACACAGACUGUCUCAGAGGUCUGUUUGUUUUCUGCUUUCCAAACAGCAGUACUUUAUCAGAUAGUUUUGAUGUGCUUUGGGGCCAGAAUGAUUUUGCUCAAUUUAGAUGAUUUUAAUUCUGAAAUACAAAUAACCAGAAAUAUAUAACAGUGGCACCUGGUGUCUCUGAAGUUGAAUUUGUUUAUGAAUGGUAGGGUGGUGUCUGUUAGCUUUGGAUGUAUGGUGUAAAGUCUAUGACACAAAGUAUAUAUAUGUCUACUUAUACAUACUAUGAACAUCCAUUAAAACGAUUCAGAAGUAGUUCCCUUCCAGGUCUCAUGCUUUUCCUCUAUUGUGCAUCUCUCUACUUUGAUGCAGCAUUAGGAAACAAGCUAGCAAUUUAGUAGUAAGAAUAUAAGGAAUAAGAAUCAUAUGUAUUCAAAUGCCACUUGACCAGUGUUUAAAACUAAUCACAAAUGAAAAUCAAUAGCCGUAUUUCAGUGUCUAACCUACAGUCCUGAUGAAAGAAAACUAAAUGUAUUUAACUAUGUAUCAAAGCUUAAAUACUUUUUUUUUCCCUGUAAAAGUGAGAAUGUAAAGUUUAUGGCUUUGCAUACUUCUGCAUUUCAAAGAACCUUUGAAAAAAAUGCUACAACACUCACAUUCAUUCUCUUUGGA